GGGCCCGCACAAGCGGCGGAGCAUGUUGCUUAAUUCGAUGCAACGCGAAGAACCUUACCUAGGCUUGACAUGCACGGAAAUCCUCCAGAGAUGGUGGGUCCGUAAGGGUCGUGCACAGGUGGUGCAUGGUUGUCGUCAGCUCGUGUCGUGAGAUGUUGGGUCAAGUCCCGCAACGAGCGCAACCCUCGUUCUAUGUUGCCAGCACGCGAUGGUGGGGACUCAUAGGAGACUGCCGGGGUCAACUCGGAGGAAGGUGGGGAUGACGUCAAAUCAUCAUGCCCCUUAUGUCUAGGGCUGCAAACAUGCUACAAUGGCCGGUACAAAGGGCUGCGAUACCGUGAGGUGGAGCGAAUCCCAAAAAGCCGGUCUCAGUUCGGAUUGGGGUCUGCAACUCGACCCCAUGAAGUUGGAGUCGCUAGUAAUCGCAGA
rnacentral:rRNA from 1 species